rnacentral:rRNA from 1 species
GGGUUGUGAGGUUAAGCGACUAAGCGUACACGGUGGAUGCCCUGGCAGUCAGAGGCGAUGAAGGACGUGCUAAUCUGCGAUAAGCGUCGGUAAGGUGAUAUGAACCGUUAUAACCGGCGAUUUCCGAAUGGGGAAACCCAGUGUGAUUCGUCACACUAUCAUUAACUGAAUCCAUAGGUUAAUGAGGCGAACCGGGGGAACUGAAACAUCUAAGUACCCCGAGGAAAAGAAAUCAACCGAGAUUCCCCCAGUAGCGGCGAGCGAACGGGGAGCAGCCCAGAGCCUGAAUCAGUGUGUGUGUUAGUGGAAGCGUCUGGAAAGGCGCGCGAUACAGGGUGACAGCCCCGUACACAAAAAUGCACAUACUGUGAGCUCGAUGAGUAGGGCGGGACACGUGGUAUCCUGUCUGAAUAUGGGGGGACCAUCCUCCAAGGCUAAAUACUCCUGACUGACCGAUAGUGAACCAGUACCGUGAGGGAAAGGCGAAAAGAACCCCGGCGAGGGGAGUGAAAAAGAACCUGAAACCGUGUACGUACAAGCAGUGGGAGCACAGAGCAAUCUGUGUGACUGCGUACCUUUUGUAUAAUGGGUCAGCGACUUAUAUUCUGUAGCAAGGUUAACCGAAUAGGGGAGCCGAAGGGAAACCGAGUCUUAACUGGGCGUUAAGUUGCAGGGUAUAGACCCGAAACCCGGUGAUCUAGCCAUGGGCAGGUUGAAGGUUGGGUAACACUAACUGGAGGACCGAACCGACUAAUGUUGAAAAAUUAGCGGAUGACUUGUGGCUGGGGGUGAAAGGCCAAUCAAACCGGGAGAUAGCUGGUUCUCCCCGAAAGCUAUUUAGGUAGCGCCUCGUGAAUUCAUCUCCGGGGGUAGAGCACUGUUUCGGCAAGGGGGUCAUCCCGACUUACCAACCCGAUGCAAACUGCGAAUACCGGAGAAUGUUAUCACGGGAGACACACGGCGGGUGCUAACGUCCGUCGUGAAGAGGGAAACAACCCAGACCGCCAGCUAAGGUCCCAAAGUCAUGGUUAAGUGGGAAACGAUGUGGGAAGGCCCAGACAGCCAGGAUGUUGGCUUAGAAGCAGCCAUCAUUUAAAGAAAGCGUAAUAGCUCACUGGUCGAGUCGGCCUGCGCGGAAGAUGUAACGGGGCUAAACCAUGCACCGAAGCUGCGGCAGCGACGCUUAUGCGUUGUUGGGUAGGGGAGCGUUCUGUAAGCCUGCGAAGGUGUGCUGUGAGGCAUGCUGGAGGUAUCAGAAGUGCGAAUGCUGACAUAAGUAACGAUAAAGCGGGUGAAAAGCCCGCUCGCCGGAAGACCAAGGGUUCCUGUCCAACGUUAAUCGGGGCAGGGUGAGUCGACCCCUAAGGCGAGGCCGAAAGGCGUAGUCGAUGGGAAACAGGUUAAUAUUCCUGUACUUGGUGUUACUGCGAAGGGGGGACGGAGAAGGCUAUGUUGGCCGGGCGACGGUUGUCCCGGUUUAAGCGUGUAGGCUGGUUUUCCAGGCAAAUCCGGAAAAUCAAGGCUGAGGCGUGAUGACGAGGCACUACGGUGCUGAAGCAACAAAUGCCCUGCUUCCAGGAAAAGCCUCUAAGCAUCAGGUAACAUCAAAUCGUACCCCAAACCGACACAGGUGGUCAGGUAGAGAAUACCAAGGCGCUUGAGAGAACUCGGGUGAAGGAACUAGGCAAAAUGGUGCCGUAACUUCGGGAGAAGGCACGCUGAUAUGUAGGUGAAGUCCCUUGCGGAUGGAGCUGAAAUCAGUCGAAGAUACCAGCUGGCUGCAACUGUUUAUUAAAAACACAGCACUGUGCAAACACGAAAGUGGACGUAUACGGUGUGACGCCUGCCCGGUGCCGGAAGGUUAAUUGAUGGGGUCAGCGCAAGCGAAGCUCUUGAUCGAAGCCCCGGUAAACGGCGGCCGUAACUAUAACGGUCCUAAGGUAGCGAAAUUCCUUGUCGGGUAAGUUCCGACCUGCACGAAUGGCGUAAUGAUGGCCAGGCUGUCUCCACCCGAGACUCAGUGAAAUUGAACUCGCUGUGAAGAUGCAGUGUACCCGCGGCAAGACGGAAAGACCCCGUGAACCUUUACUAUAGCUUGACACUGAACAUUGAGCCUUGAUGUGUAGGAUAGGUGGGAGGCUUUGAAGUGUGGACGCCAGUCUGCAUGGAGCCGACCUUGAAAUACCACCCUUUAAUGUUUGAUGUUCUAACGUUGACCCGUGAUCCGGGUUGCGGACAGUGUCUGGUGGGUAGUUUGACUGGGGCGGUCUCCUCCUAAAGAGUAACGGAGGAGCACGAAGGUUGGCUAAUCCUGGUCGGACAUCAGGAGGUUAGUGCAAUGGCAUAAGCCAGCUUGACUGCGAGCGUGACGGCGCGAGCAGGUGCGAAAGCAGGUCAUAGUGAUCCGGUGGUUCUGAAUGGAAGGGCCAUCGCUCAACGGAUAAAAGGUACUCCGGGGAUAACAGGCUGAUACCGCCCAAGAGUUCAUAUCGACGGCGGUGUUUGGCACCUCGAUGUCGGCUCAUCACAUCCUGGGGCUGAAGUAGGUCCCAAGGGUAUGGCUGUUCGCCAUUUAAAGUGGUACGCGAGCUGGGUUUAGAACGUCGUGAGACAGUUCGGUCCCUAUCUGCCGUGGGCGCUGGAGAACUGAGGGGGGCUGCUCCUAGUACGAGAGGACCGGAGUGGACGCAUCACUGGUGUUCGGGUUGUCAUGCCAAUGGCACUGCCCGGUAGCUAAAUGCGGAAGAGAUAAGUGCUGAAAGCAUCUAAGCACGAAACUUGCCCCGAGAUGAGUUCUCCCUGACUCCUUGAGAGUCCUGAAGGAACGUUGAAGACGACGACGUUGAUAGGCCGGGUGUGUAAGCGCAGCGAUGCGUUGAGCUAACCGGUACUAAUGAACCGUGAGGCUUAACCUUACAACGCCGAAGGUGUUU